rnacentral:ncRNA from 1 species
GUUAUCAAGAAAGGUGGAGGGAUUAGACCCUUUGAAGCCUUAGCAACCCUUUUCAAGAGGAAAAGAAGGUGCUAAAUUCUACUUAGUUUCAG